GCCAGGGUGGCCUAGUGGUUUGAGCGUUGGACUAGGACUCUGGAGGCCAGGGUUCAAGUCCCAGCUGGGCCA
rnacentral:tRNA from 1 species